UACGGAGGGUGCAAGCGUUAUCCGGAUUCACUGGGUUUAAAGGGUGCGUAGGUGGGCAGGUAAGUCAGUAGUGAAAUCUCCGGGCUUAACUCGGAAACUGCCAUUGAUACUAUCUGUCUUGAAUACCGUGGAGGUUAGCGGAAUAUGUCAUGUAGCGGUGAAAUGCUUAGAUAUGACAUAGAACACCAAUUGCGAAGGCAGCUGGCUACACGAAUAUUGACACUGAUGCACGAAAGCGUGGGGAUCAAACAGG
rnacentral:rRNA from 1 species